UGCCUCAGUAACGGCGAGUGAAGCGGCAAAAGCUCAAAUUUGAAAUCUAGUACCUUCGGUGCCCGAGUUGUAAUUUGUAGAGGGCGACUUUGGGGCGGCUCCUUGUCUAUGUUCCUUGGAACAGGACGUCAUAGAGGGUGAGAAUCCCGUGUGGCGAGGAGUGCGGUUCCGUGUAAAGCGCUCUCGAAGAGUCGAGUUGUUUGGGAAUGCAGCUCUAAGUGGGUGGUAAAUUCCAUCUAAAGCUAAAUAUUGGCGAGAGACCGAUAGCGAACAAGUACAGUGAUGGAAAGAUGAAAAGAACUUUGAAAAGAGAGUGAAAAAGUACGUGAAAUUGUUGAAAGGGAAGGGCAUUUGAUCAGACAUGGUGUUUUGCGCCCCUCGCUCCUUGUGGGUGGGGGACCCUCGCAGCUCACUGGGCCAGCAUCAGUUU
rnacentral:rRNA from 1 species